AGAGCUGUGAUGCAGACAGAAAAUCACAUGAGCAGAGAUCUGUUUACAAACUGAGAGCUGUAAAGGAGAGAUGAGGAGGAAGAAGAAAGUAGGAGAAUGAAUAGCAGGAAAGCAGGGGAAGAGAUGAGGAGCUGCUUCCCACCGGAACACUGAGGCUGCCUGCCUGGAUGUGCUGCUGGGGAACCCAUCCAUGUCCUUUCCUUUGUCUCUACAUAUUUGGCCACGGCAGAUUUUAACAGCUAGGAAAGCAGCAUGCCCAUCUAAAAGGAGAGGACAAUAGAGAAAGGAAAAGAAAGAGAGGGAAGGAGAGCCUUGUGACAGCGUUUGAAGAUAGAUAUAGCAAAGAAGCAGGGAUUAUCUUAAGACAGAUGUUCAUAACCAGAGUGCUGGAUGCGAUUUGGAGUAUAAUUCCUCAUGGUGUCAUUAGUGCCUUUUGAUCCACAAGCCUCAUAGGUUGUUUUCUUUGUCCUGCAAGGGAAAGACACAAAGGAAUAUUUAAUAUUUAUUUGACACUUUCACUGUUGCUUGGGAGUCAAAAUCUCUUUUAAGGUGGAUGUUUUGUAUUACAUUUUCAGCCGGUAAAUCAUUCAUGCUGACUGAAUAAUCACCGUUCAAAUGAGCAGCUGCAUAUGGAGCUGAUGUGUUCCUGAUGAACACAAGAAGUCUCUAAUCAUUUCUGCUUAGACCCCAAGGACUUAAUUCACUGCACAUCCUUAACAACUAUCAGGGUAAAAGAAUCUGAACUUUAAAAAACACAAGCAAUCUGUUUUAUUUUAAGAAGAAACUUCAGAAAAGCUGUGGAGACCAGAGUUUGUCAUAUUGGACAGGUCACAACCUCAACAACUUUCUGGGUUUGCCAUCUCAACAUCUACACUUUUGAUGCAUCCUCUCCAUUGGUGUAACGGGUGUCUGUGUAACCUUGCAUUG